UUACAUUAUUCUUAACCAAAUUAUUUUUAUACCCUACUAGCAUACAUUGUAAUGUUUUGCCACUUUUUAUGUCUUCCGAAAUUUUUAUGGUUGGCCUCAUGUGUACUCAUGGUUCAACAAAUCUGCCAUGGUUCUAGAUUUGUAGGUUGGCACGGUAGAUUUAUAUAAGAGUGUGGAUUUUGUACACCCAAGUAUGAGUGUGGGUGUGUUACUUGCCGUUCGUCUAAUCCUCGAGAUCCGUGCAUAGUGAAGUAACGUUGGACAUUUUGUUUUGCGUUUGCAAUUGUCCAGUCCCAUCCAAAUCUCCUUUUUUCCUGGCUUUUUUCACCAUCUGACCAGUGUCUCUGUCGGGACGUUUAGCUCUAGGUACAGUUGCUGCCGCUGUCCAAAAAGUAGUACUACUAGACCUGCCCUCCAUUCCUCGUGCUCUUGCCGCCGGCAGAGACUUCUCAUUUUUCCCGCGUCGGCCAUCUUCUCCAGGUGCGGCGAGAGCUCCGGCGUACCAGCCAACUCCACCCGGCCGCCGGUAGGCGUGCAGUAGAGCCGUCUACACUGCGCCGCUGACGCGCAGGCACAGGACGCCGUCCUCGUCGCCACCGAGCCGUCUACGUCGUCGUCGUGCGCCAUCGCCAGCGAGCCGUCCACACUGCGCUGCCGAUGCGCAGGCAAUGGUCGCAGGGGCAACUCCAGAGCGGGCACCCCAUUGUUUUGGAAGGGGGCGAAUCGUCAAAUGUCUACUCCGCCGGCGCUCCUCCCUCGCGCGCGGUGGUCUCCGGCUGGAGCGGCACGACACCCUAGACGGUGGGCUGCUGCCGGCGGGAGCAAGGCCACCGGAGAUGUGGAUGCGGUGCCUAUUGCCUCCACGGAUGCGUGGAUGUGUGCGGACUGGCGCAUCACGGCAUCGUGUUGGAGGAUGUCGCUGAGCGUCACGCUGGCGGCGUCCCCGGCAGCCGCGUCCGCGACGAGGGCGCUGUUGAAUGCGCCAGAGAUGGACUUUUAAGCAGCGCAGGAGGUGUUCCCAUGCCUGCGGACGCCGCCGAGCUGAUGCCUUCGGCCGACUCGGGAACGCGGAGGCACACCAGCAACGCCGUGGGUGCCGUGACCAGAGGUCGCCGAGGGCAGCGCCGUGCACAGGCGCGACAUGUCCGUGCAGCCUACCUUUUUGUUCUUGCGUUGAUGUUGCGUCUGUGCGGAGGAAACAGAGAAACAGCAGAGAUGCCAUCGCUGACAUGAUGUCGAGCUUUGUCUAUGCGGAGGAAGCAGCGGCGCCGUCUUAUCUCUCUCCCAAAAAUUCUUCAUAUUUUCCCUAACUUUUCUUGAACGCAAAUGGUGAAUUGAUGUUGUAUGGAGUGAUUUCCUUGUUGCUGUCUCCUCUCGGUUUGGUUCUUGUUAAUGCAUUAAACUUGUGCUUUAAAA